GCUGGGUGCAGUGGUGCAUGCUUGUAAUCCCAGUGGCUUGGGAGGCUGAGGCAGGAGGAUUGCAAGUUCAAAGCCGGCCUCAGCAACUUAGUGAGGCCCUAAAUGACUCAGUGAGAUCCUGUCUCUA
rnacentral:sRNA from 1 species